rnacentral:tRNA from 1 species
GGGCGCGUAGCUCAACGGUUAGAGCCGGCCGCUCAUAACGGUCUGGUUGCAGGUUCGAGUCCUGCCGCGCCCA